UAUCUUUUAAAGCGAUCAUUUUACUCCUGUGCAACUCCAAAAUAAUUAACCUCUUCCAAAUAUACUAUUAAGCUCUAUUACUAUCUUCAUUUAUUACCUUAAAAACUCUUGUACAAUUGGGAGAAUUCACUUUACAUGUCUGAAUUCUAAUUAUUUUCGGAGCUCACUUUCAUCAAUCGUGAUAAAAUAUAUACAAGGCACAUGAUAUUUUAUACAUAUAACGAUUAUAUUAUAAAAUAUACGGCGGAGGAAAGAAUUUUUAAAGAAAGCGCUGUGGAGUAUUGGGAGGAAGGAAAAUGAUAUUUUAGACAAAGCGGUAGGUAGUAUUAGCGAGUUGACUUAAAUUUCCAAGUCUUUGUUAUCUGUUCUUGCGGGAAAUAGCAGAAACCAAGAAUCAGAUGGAUCAAUCUGAUACCAUUCGUGGAUUUCGACGACGAUAUCAGAGGAGAAAAAUCUAUAACAUAAGAUCUUCUCUCGGCUACGAUAAAUCAGCAAGCUUGUGAAGAACAUCAGCAAUGGUGGGGCGAUCUGAAGGUUGGGGAUUGACACAAUCCAAUCCAAGCGCUGUAAUUGCGUCGGCAGCCUCUUUGGAACAUCCAGUUCUUGCUAAUUGUGGAUGCAGCAAUUUUUGUGUAGGGUAAGUUCUCAUUGCCCAGUCCCCAAUCCGCCAUGGAACGCUAGCUCCAAUGCUGUAAGUUCUCUCUUUCUUGGUUAUGAGUUGUAUUAUUAUUUCUCCAAAACUGUAAAUAUCAUCUGCUCUGUUUCCUGACGAAAGAAAAGGGAAAAAAAAACACACACACUAUCUUUAUCAUUUUUGAAGAUAUUUAACUAAAUUUAUGAAAAUUUUCUAAACACUAAUUUAUAAGUACAUUAUAAACAAAAUUGUUAGCUUAUUUUUAGGAUUUUUUUUCAUAAAAUAAUUUGUAAUAAACCUUAUAAGCUGAAGAAAAAAGUUACCUGAGAUUAUAUGUUCUCCCUCUGGUGUAACCUUCCCAAAAUCAGCUAGCUUGGGAGUAAAAUUCUGUACUCAUAAGGAUCAAAUACAAUUCAGUAGUUAACUCAAAAAAAAAAAAAACUUUAUAAUGUAAAUUUCCUUUUGGAAAAAAAAAAAGAUAAUUAAAUGACCUUAUCGAGCAAAAUAUUGUCCA